rnacentral:snRNA from 1 species
CUACGUAUUCCUACAAAGCAGGGCCUUGUUUAAGACCCGUAGAACAAUUUUUGGAGGCUCUCAAGGAAUGGGGGCCA